rnacentral:tmRNA from 1 species
GGGGAUGCCAUGGUUUCGAUUGGUAGAUUUUUGAUAUAAAGUGCAAGUAAACUCGUACAAUUGUUUAAUAGGCAAUUAUACAAACUACAACACUAAUUACGCUUACGCGUAGUUAGUCAUCGCCCUUUGACUCCGAUAUAAGAUCAGGCGGUGUUACCAAUCGGAAGACCGAUCGUAGGAAUAACAAUACUUAAUCGCGAUGCUAAAUAAUGAAUUAAGAAAUGUUGACUUUGUUAGUAGGAAAGAAACUAACUAAACUUGUGAAUGACUUUAUAGCAUUGCUGUCAAGACGGGGGUUCGAUUCCCCCCAUCUCCACCA